rnacentral:rRNA from 1 species
UACGUAGGGUGCGAGCGUUGUCCGGAAUUACUGGGCGUAAAGAGCUCGUAGGUGGUUUGUCGCGUUGUUCGUGAAAACACGGGGCUUAACCCCGUGCCUGCUUCCGAUACGGGCAGACUAGAGGUAUGCAGGGGAGAACGGAAUUCCUGGUGUAGCGGUGAAAUGCGCAGAUAUCAGGAGGAACACCGGUGGCGAAGGCGGUUCUCUGGGCAUUACCUGACGCUGAGGAGCGAAAGUGUGGGGAGCGAACAGG